UUUUAUGAGAGUUUGAUCCUGGCUCAGGACGAACGCUGGCGGCGUGCCUAAUACAUGCAAGUCGAACGCUUCUUUUUCCACCGGAGCUUGCUCCACCGGAAAAAGAGGAGUGGCGAACGGGUGAGUAACACGUGGGUAACCUGCCCAUCAGAAGGGGAUAACACUUGGAAACAGGUGCUAAUACCGUAUAACAAUCGAAACCGCAUGGUUUUGAUUUGAAAGGCGCUUUCGGGUGUCGCUGAUGGAUGGACCCGCGGUGCAUUAGCUAGUUGGUGAGGUAACGGCUCACCAAGGCCACGAUGCAUAGCCGACCUGAGAGGGUGAUCGGCCACAUUGGGACUGAGACACGGCCCAAACUCCUACGGGAGGCAGCAGUAGGGAAUCUUCGGCAAUGGACGAAAGUCUGACCGAGCAACGCCGCGUGAGUGAAGAAGGUUUUCGGAUCGUAAAACUCUGUUGUUAGAGAAGAACAAGGAUGAGAGUAACUGUUC
rnacentral:rRNA from 1 species